rnacentral:lncRNA from 1 species
CUCUCUUUCUUGCUCUUGUUGCAAAUUAAGGAAUUUAAAAUUAGCUUUUGCUAAUUACCUCCAACUCAGAACAAGAGUUACAAGGGUCAUCGCCAUUUAAAACAAGCUGCUCCAAACCUUACCACUUUUCAUUCCCAAUAUAACCAUCAACCAUACUACAUUCACCAUUACAAAUCCAUAAAAAAAAUUAAAACAUAAGUACUGAAUAAAGAAGGAAAAAAAAAAAAUAAAGACCCACUUGAUUUGUAGAACAAAACCUCCAUUAUUAUCACCAUUCUCGUUCCCAUCGAUGGUAUUACAAUUAGGACUUUGAGGAUGAUGGUUUUCAUCCAAAGCUUCAGGCUUUAAACAAAGCAUCAUUGUAAGAACGCCAACAAUGAAAAUCUAAUACACACUCAAGAUUGUAAUUUUAGUUUAAUUUCACAAUCAGUGGUUCAUUUUCUUUCUUCUUCUUGCACCUGUUGAACACAUAGGAAUCUAAUGACUCCACCAACUAAAGACUACCUUUUCAAGACAAAAAGAAAAGAAAAUCAACAUGGACAUUAUUUUUUUUCAACUGCUACAAAGAGGUCUAAAGAAAAGGGACAAAAGAUGGAGAGAAAUGGAGUACAAAAGGUGUGAUGGAGAGGGAGAGGUAGAGAGACG